GGGGGUUCCUUAUAAAAGGACGAGUUUAACCCCCUCGUGCACUUGCUCUCAUUUCCUCUCUCUCUCUCUCUCUCUCUCUCUCUGGCCCUCUCUUGCCCUUCUGCCUUCAGCCAUGGGAUGUCACAGCAAGAAGGUCCUUACAAGAUGCCAGCCCCUUGAUACUGGACUUCCCAGCCUCUGGAACUCCUCCAGAGGACACAGAGCAAGUCAACAGAGCCAAGCAGUCUCCUUGCAACUCCCUCACUCAGCCUGAGAAGUCCCUGAAAUGAAACUUUCAAGCCACCCAUGACCAGCACUGUCCAACAAACCUUUCUGCAAUGAUGGAAAUGUUCCCUGUCUGCACUGUCUGAUAGCGUAGCCACUAGCCAAAUGGAACCAUUGAACUG